ACAAUUACAAUAUGAAGGGCUGUACGCGGCUGUGCUYCUWGGGCCAGUUMUUGCGGAGGCUGAAUYUUUAUUACCCUUGUCUUUUUGCGCACUUGUUGUUUCCMGGGCGGGUUCGCCCGCCACCAGGACCACAUCAUAAACCUUUUUUAUGCAGUUGCCAUCAGCGUCAGUAUGACAAAUGUAAACCAUUUACAACUUUCAACAACGGAUCUCUYGGUUCUGGCAUCGAUGAAGAACGCAGCGAAAUGCGAUACGUAGUGUGAAUUYGCAGAAUUCAGUGAAUCAUCGAAUCUUUGAACGCACAUUYGCGCCCUUUYGGUAUUCCAAAGGGCAUGCCUGUUCGAGCGUCAUUUGUACCCUCAAGCUUUGCUUGGUGUUGGGCGUUUUUUGUCUUUGGUUGCCAAAGACUCGCCUUAAAAGGAUUGGCAGCCGGCCUACUGGUUUCGCAGCGCAGCACAUYUUUGCGCUUGCAAUCAGCAAAAGAGGACGGCACUCCAUCAAGACUCCUUCUCACGUUUGACCUCGGAUCAGGUAGGGAUACCCGCUGAACUUAAGCAUAU
rnacentral:rRNA from 1 species